rnacentral:tmRNA from 1 species
GGGGGCGUACUGGUUUCGACUUAACAGAUGCGCCAGAGGCGGCAUGCCGAGGAUGGUUCGUUGGCCUCGUAAAACAUCGGACCAAAAAAUAAUUGCUAACGAAGAAUUAGCUCUCGCGGCCUAAAUGAGCCACGACGUCCGCCGGUGGACACCUGCUACGCCGGAUGGACGCCACAGCAGGUUAGGCUCGACGCGGAGUCUGCGCGCGGCGGGCUGAAGCUCUUACCAUGCAGGCUAGGCUAGGCGAGUUCGGUGUCAGGCCGUCAUCGUCUGGCAGAAAACUCUCUCCUGACUAAGCAUGUAGUCGCGGCUGGUAACUUUGCUAAGGACGCGGGUUCAACUCCCGCCGCCUCCAGUC